GCUCAAUUGGUAGAGCAUCAGACUUUUGAUCUGAGUGCCCAGGGUUCAAGUCCCUG
rfam:Pelodiscus sinensis unplaced genomic scaffold scaffold569, whole genome shotgun sequence.